rnacentral:tRNA from 1 species
GGCGAGGUAGCUCAGAUGGUUAGAGCGCAGGAUUCAUAACCCUGAGGUCGGCAGUUCGAUCCUGCUCCUCGCUACAA